GACGUAGGUGGCGAACGUUAUCCGGAAUUAUUGGGCGUAAAGGGUGCGUAGAUGGUCUGACAAGUUAUCGGCGGGAAAAUCGAGGCUCAACCUCGUGGAAACUGGUAAUACUGUCAGGCUCGAGUGCAGGAGAGGUUAACGGAACUCCCGGUGGAGCGGUAAAAUGCAUAGAUAUCGGGAAGAACACCAAUAACGGCGAAGGCAGUUAACUAUUCUGUUACUGACAUUGAAGCACGAAAGCGUGGGGAGCAAAACGG
rnacentral:rRNA from 1 species